GUGGGGAAUCUUCCGCAAUGGACGAAAGUCUGACGGAGCGACGCCGCGUGAGUGAAGAAGGCCUUCGGGUCGUAAAGCUCUGUCAUCAGGGACGAAUGGCCGGUGGAGUGGAAAGCCACCGGAUUGACGGUACCUGAGAAGGAAGCCACGGCUAACUACGUGCCAGCAGCCGCGGUAAUACGUAGGUGGCAAGCGUUGUCCGGAAUUAUUGGGCGUAAAGCGCGCGCAGGUGGGAUCUUAAGUCCAUUUUGAAAGUUCGGAGCUCAACUCCGUGAUGGGGUGGAAACUGGGAUUCUUGAGUACCGGAGAGGAAAGCGGAAUUCCCCGUGUAGCGGUGAAAUGCGUAGAUAUGGGGAGGAACACCAGUGGCGAAGGCGGCUUUCUGGCACAAUACUGACGCUCAUGUGCGAAAGCUAGGGCAGCGAACGGGAUUAGAAACCCCUGUAGUCC
rnacentral:rRNA from 1 species